rnacentral:rRNA from 1 species
GCGUUGUUCGGAAUUACUGGGCGUAAAGCGUCCGCAGGCGGCCUGACAAGUCUGCUGUUAAAGCGUGGAGCUUAACUCCAUUUCAGCAGUGGAAACUGUCAGGCUUGAGUGUGGUAGGGGCAGAGGGAAUUCCCGGCGUAGCGGUGAAAUGCGUAGAUAUCGGGAAGAACACCAGUGGCGAAGGCGCUCUGCUGGGCCAUCACUGACGCUCAUGGACGAAAGCCAGGGGAGCGAAAGGGAUUAGAUACCCCUGUAGUCCUGGCCGUAAACGAUGAACACUAGGUGUCGGGGGAAUCGACCCCUCCGGUGUCGUAGCCAACGCGUUAAGUGUUCCGCCUGGGGAGUACGCACGCAAGUGUGAAACUCAAAGGAAUUGACGGGGGCCCGCACAAGCGGUGGAGUAUGUGGUUUAAUUCGAUGAUACGCGAGGAACCUUACCAGGGCUUAAAUGUAAGUUGCAUGGAUCAGAGAUGAUCCUUUCUUCGGACUACUUACAAGGUGCUGCAUGGUU